CAGCCUUUCUCAUGGUAAUCAGCCCCCAGCAUCACCUCCCGGCUGCGGCCGCUCCCGCUCCUUGCGCAGCUCGCGGACCCCGGGGACCGGAAACGGGGCGGCGGGCGGGGAGCAAGCUAGCUAGCGACCCAGGCUCAACUCCGAAUGGAUUGGAUUGCAAGUUUGCAC